rnacentral:rRNA from 1 species
UACGGAGGAUGCGAGCGUUAUCCGGAUUUAUUGGGUUUAAAGGGUGCGUAGGCGGGCAUUUAAGCCGGCGGUCAAAUGUCGGGGCUCAACCCCGGCCUGCCGUCGGAACUGGGUGCCUUGAGUGGGCGAGAAGUAUGCGGAAUGCGUGGUGUAGCGGUGAAAUGCAUAGAUAUCACGCAGAACCCCGAUUGCGAAGGCAGCCUACCGGCUUCUGUCUGACGCUGAGGCACGAAAGCGUGGGUAUCGAACAGG